AGAGCUGGAGGGGAGGCAAGAUGUUGGCAUAGCUGUUAACCUAAAAACCUGCUAUGCCAACAUAUUGUCAUCUUUCCUG
rnacentral:pre_miRNA from 7 species